GAUGAACGCUGGCGGCGUGCCUAAUACAUGCAAGUCGAGCGAACAGACGAGGCGCUUGCUCCUCUGACGUUAGCGGCGGACGGGUGAGUAACACGUGGAUAACCUACCUAUAAGACUGGGAUAACUUCGGGAAACCGGAGCUAAUACCGGAUAAUAUAUUGAACCGCAUGGUUCAAUAGUGAAAGACGGUUUUGCUGUCACUUAUAGAUGGAUCCGCGCCGCAUUAGCUAGUUGGUAAGGUAACGGCUUACCAAGGCAACGAUGCGUAGCCGACCUGAGAGGGUGAUCGGCCACACUGGAACUGAGACACGGUCCAGACUCCUACGGGAGGCAGCAGUAGGGAAUCUUCCGCAAAGGGCGAAAGCCUGACGGAGCAACGCCGCGUGGGUGAUGAAGGUCUUCGGAUCGUAAAACUCUGUUAUUAGGGAAGAACAAAUGUGUAAGUAACUAUGCACGUCUUGACGGUACCUAAUCAGAAAGCCACGGCUAACUACGUG
rnacentral:rRNA from 1 species